UUGUUACUUGCUGACGGUCAGUCACUCAACGAUCAGUCAAUAUUGUCAAUAGCUGAAGGCAAGAGAACUGGGAUUGUGAAACGUUGUGUUGUGGGAUUUUGGUGUACGUGACGAAUUAAGAACGUUGUUUCUUUGUUGAUGUUAUAAUGUUAUUAAUGCGCUUCAACAACUAAGGUAUUUAAGCACGUAAUUAGGUAACAGUGAGGCAGGAUAUAGGGAAGAACCUUGAGGCUCUAAGAGGAGGAGGCUUCAGACAGUCCCAAGCUGCGAAGACCCACCACUACCACAAUAGAAAAGGCGAGGGAGAGGAGGGGGAGAACUUGGAAUUACCAUGGCGAAAGACUUUGAUGAAAUUCUGGAGAGUGUAGGAUCCUACGGUUACUACCAGAAGUGGCUAAUAUAUGUUCUCCUUAUGCCAGCAACCUUCUUUAGUGGAUUUACAAUGAACCUAAUGUUGUUCCAAGUGGUGGUGCCGGAUCACUGGUGUUACGUCCCAGGACGAGA